CAAAUGCUUCUUCCGUCCGAAAUUACUUGUCAUAGAAAUGGAUGUAUGUAGACGUAUUUUAGUUUUAAGAUUUAAAUACAUUUAAAAAAAAAUUCUAUUUUGACGACAAAUAAUUCUGGACGGAGGAAGUACAAA
rnacentral:pre_miRNA from 1 species